UUUAUACUCCCUCCAUCUCAAAAUUUUUGUCUUAGAUUUGUCUAGAGACGGAUGUAUCAAGUCAUGUUUUAGUAUUAGGUAUAUACGUAUAUAGACAAAUCUAAGACAAAAAAUUUGGAACGGGGGAGUAUAUU
rfam:Triticum urartu cultivar G1812 contig41187, whole genome shotgun sequence.